rnacentral:rRNA from 1 species
AGCAGCCGCGGUAAUUCCAGCUCCAAUAGCGUAUAUUAAAGUUGUUGCAGUUAAAAAGCUCGUAGUUGAAUUUCGGGAUCAAAUUGUCGGUCGUGCCUCGGUACGCACUGGUAUUAUUGGUUCCUACCUUCUGAAGAACCGCGAUGUCAUUAAUUUGGUGUCGUGGGGAAUCAGGACUGUUACUUUGAAAAAUUAGAGUGUUUAAAGCAGGCUUACGCUUGAAUACAUUAGCAUGGAAUAAUGAAAUAGGACGUUUGAUUCUAUUUUGUUGGUUUCUAGGAUUGACGUAAUGAUUAAUAGGGAUAGUUGGGGCAUUAGUAUUCAAUUGUCAGAGGUGAAAUUCUUGGAUUUAUUGAAGACUAACUACUGCGAAAGCAUUUUGCCAAGGAUGUUUUCAUUAAUCAAGAACGAAAGUUAGGGGNUCGAAGACGAUCAGAUACCGUCGUAGUCUU